rnacentral:rRNA from 1 species
UACGUAGGAGGCGAGCGUUAUCCGGAAUCACUGGGCGUAAAGCGCCCGCAGGCGGUUCACCAUGUUCCUAUUGACAGUCGUCAGCUUCACUGAUGAAGGCAUAGGAAAACGGGUGGACUUGAGAGCGAGAGAGGGAUGCGGAAUUCCAGGAGGAGCAGUGAAAUGCGUAGAUACCUGGAGGAACACCAAAGGCGAAGGCAGCAUCCUGGCUCGUAUCUGACGCUCAGGGGCGAAAGCCAGGGGAG